rnacentral:SRP_RNA from 1 species
GGGAGGUUGGCGCGGACGUGUCCCUCGCCAACCGGGUCAGGUCCGGAAGGAAGCAGCCCUAACGAGCCCGAUGCGGGUCGUCGUUCAGCCUCCCACU